rnacentral:rRNA from 1 species
CGUUCCCGGACCUUGUACACACCGCCCGUCAAGCCAUGGAGCUUGGGCGCCUGAAGACGGUGACUUUACGGGAGCUGUCUAAGGUGAAACAGGUGACUGGGCU